rnacentral:lncRNA from 1 species
UUUCACCUUGCUUGGAGCCAUUGGAGCUUUGGGUGAUCGUGGCCGCUUCGUUGAUGACCCAACAACCGGCAUUGAAGGAGCUGUGAUCCCUCCAGGAAAAAGCUUCAGGGCAGCAUUGGGUCUCAAGGAGGGAGGUAGUUAAUUUGCAAUUCCACAUUAUCAUCUAUUCUCUUGAAUUUUCUUAGUACCAUUUCAUUUUCACUUUUAUUCAGUGUAAAUGUUGUUUCUAGUUCUCAAAGCACCGGAUGAGGCAUAUCCAAAGAUGCGUGACAUGUGUUCUGAAAGAAUUUUUCAUUGUUUUGUUGUGUGCAAGGUCCUCUAUUUGGAUUUACAAAAUCCAACGAGCUUUUCGUGGGGAGAUUGGCUCAGCUGGGCAUCGCUUUCUCUUUAAUUGGAGAAAUCAUAACUGGAAAGGGAGCUCUAGCACAGCUCAACAUCGAGACAGGGAUUCCAGUCAAUGAAAUUGAACCACUUGUGUUGUUCAACGUUCUCUUCUUCUUCAUUGCCGCAUUGAAUCCUGGGACUGGGAAAUUCGUGACCGAUGAGGAUGAAGAGUAGAUGAGCUAUUAUGUCUUGUAAAAUCCUCCGUUGAUGUUUACUUAGAAACUAGCGCCGUCUCUCUAUCUCUGUUUCUUGCAUGAACAAACAACAUUUGCCCUCUUCAUUGGAAACAUGAUUUUCUUCUGCUCUCAUGAGUAGCAUCCAAAUGCAGGUUUUAUGAUAGGAGAGUUUUUAGGCAGAUGGAGAGUUGUUUUUUCUUCUUUCAGGUAAGGGCCGUGUGCGAGUAGAUUACAACUCCGGUGAACAGAUAGUCUUUUCUAGUCUCAGGAUUCUGUUAAACGUCUUGACAUGUUUGCUCCUCAGAAAUCACAUGAAUUCCAAAUGAGUAACCAAACAAAAACAAAUUUCCAAUUGAAUCCCUCGUUUUUAGUCAUCUAUCAAACAUCUACCCAAUUAAUCCCGUCACGGAAAUUAAUGAAAAAAACAGCAUCGUUUUAAGACAAACCGGCCUCUAUUUUUUUAUUUUUUAUGAUUUUAAAAUAAGACAUUUUAAGGGAAGUGUUAAUUGGGUAAUGUCCAAAACAUAAAGAAACCAUUAAAGAAUUGUUUUGUUGGGGGACCUAAUUGAAAAUUAGUUGAUAGUUAAAAGAUAAAAUUAUUCCUUUGCCAGAAAAAAAAAACUAUUAAUGGUUACAGCAAAUAUAGUUACGGCAAUCUCAAAUGCAUGUUUUUAGAAUAUAAAUUAAAUAAAAAUAUCAACCGGACUUUUUAGACUUUUAAACAUUUCAUAAAUAAAACUAUAGCCAUUUGUGCACCAUCUCUUUGGAAAUUCUCGGCUAUACAAUCGACUAUCGAUCGCAAUAUGAGAGCAAAAAAAAUAUGCUGGUGGCUGAACUCAAAUAGCUCUCAUUGAAAAUUUAUAUAUGCAUACACUGUACAGGGGUGUGUUUUCGGUAUUCUAGAGAUUUUUAUUUACAAAAAUAGAUUUGAAAAAAAUUAUAAAUCAUAUUUUACUGUAAUUUGAAAUUAAAACAAGUUUAAAUAAUAAAAACCCAGUAAUUCUUAAAAUUAUGAUAAGUCUAAAAGUAUUUUUAAUUACACCGCACCAUAAUAUAUAACGGACCAUUACUUUAAAAAGCAAACGGCUUUGGUUUCUAUGUCUAAACAUGCUCGGACCUACGAUUGAAAUAAACCUUGUCGGUAUGAUUUGGACAUUGUCUGCCGCCGUAUAACGAAAUUGUGGUAUUCCUGUUUUGAUAGAUUGCCGACUUCUUUAGAAAAUUUAAAAUCACUUUCUUUCUCUGUUUUAGUUCUAGCUUCUGCUUUGAUGCAAAUGAAGAUAAUUUAUUUAUUUAUUUUUAGAUGGAGCUAAUUCUGCAAUGAUUUUGGAAUAUUUUUUUAAAUAUUAUUUUUAAUUGAUAAAACAUUUAAAAAACAAUUUUUUUAAAAAAAAAUACAAUCACAGCAAUGCUAACAUACUCUUAACAAAAAUAACAUAAAAAAACCAAAUAAAUAUAGUUAUUUUUGCCAUUACAGUGGUGGUUGCUUUGCAUAGAAAUAAACUUUUUGAACUUUCAUAUACUAAUAGUAGUUAACUCCUUACAUCAUCAACUUGUUAAUAGUUUGUAUUUAAAUUUAUAUAAUUGACUUAUUCAUAGCUUGUGUAUUAUAGUAUAUUAUAUUUUUUUAAGUUUUUUUCAAAUAAAAAUACAUUAAAAUAAAAUAUUUUUUUAAUUUUAAUAUUAAUACGUUGAAAUUAUAAAAAUAUAUUUAAAAAAUAUUAAUUUAAUAAUUUUUAAAUAAAAAAUAAUUUAAAAACACUUAAAAAAACACAAAAGUUCACCAAACACUCACAAGUCACUAAUCAUCUUUGAAAAAUCACCAAGACAUAGCGCCCAUGAUUGUUAGCGCGAAACUAGAUUAGACACAUAAAUUACUUAAAUUAAAAUUGGAUUAUCCAACAAAUUGGCAAUCAUAAAUCAUAAUCACCAAAUACUUUCCUAAAAGUCAUAUGAUCGACGAACAAACAAACAACCACCAUCCAUUAUAAUAAUUAUUAAUUACCUCUAGUUAACAACUCAAGUAUAUACACGUGUAAUCCAAGCAACAUCACCACGUAGAAUUAGAAUAAUAAUGCAAUUUACAAUCAUAUAUGUGGUAGUUCAAUGAUAAGAGAUUGGGAUCAAGAGGUUUGCUCUCUAUGCGGUUUCAAGUUCGAGUCCUGUGGUUACUCAUAUGAAGGCUACUGGAGGCUUACAUGGUCGUUAAUUAAUUACCUCUAGUUAACAACUCAAGUAUAUACACGUGUAAUCCAAGCAACAUCACCACGUAGAAUAAUAAUGCAAUUUACAAUUUUAUUUUUGUUGAAACAAUAAUGCAAUUUAAACACCUUUAAUAAUAGUAUGUGGACCUCGUAAUGACACUUAAUUACUCGCAUUAAUUAAUCAAAUUACUUAAUUAAACCUUUUUAUUAUUAUUUUUUUUCCGUUCUAAACCAAGUUCGUCUCCAAAAAAAGAAAAGGACAGCCUAGGAGACACCAAUCCAAUAACCUUUUCAUUGCUUUGAUUCCUCUCCCAGCUUCUUCUUCUUCUUCUUCUCUGCAAAAACCCUUUCACUUCUCUCUCCAGAAGCUAUCUCUUGUCUUGAACUUGGUCAGUUUAAGUCACCCGAUUCAGGCAGGAUUUCCUUACAAACCCAAUUGCACGCAAGACUGUCUUUGAUCAUCAUUAACUCACCAAUUGUAUCAUUGUUCGAGUCCCAAUCACGAUCACAGCCGUUGAUCAAGAAGCAGAAAUGGAAAAAUCUAAGGUUGGCAAGGGAGCUUACCUCAACGGGAAUCCCCAUCAUUCCUUCUCUUCUUCCUCUGCUUCUCAAAGACAUGUCAGCUACAGGUUCUUUCUGUCCCACUAAAUACUGGGUCCUUUUUCUUUUCUUUUCUUUUCGUUUCCAAUGAAGGAUCGAGUUUUUUGUUAUUGGGUUUUUCUUUUUGUUGAUUCAAAUUGGUUGACUGUCCUUUGUUUUCUGUUCUGUGUUGGAAGUUCACCGUAUUCAAUUCAUGAUCAAAUUGAGGCAUGUGCAGGACAUCUGAUUUAUUUUCUUGGCUUGUCCAGUAUAUAUAUAGGUUCUUUUCCUGGUGAAAGGAAACUUGGCUUCUUAAUGAGCUUGGGAGAAUUGUUCUAAAUGGAUGUAAAAUAAGAGACUAAUUGAUAUGUCAAGUCAAUUUGUAAGCUUGGGAACUAAAAGUCUUGUGCUUUUUUAAGUUUUGAACAAUGUUAUGGGUAGUUAGCACUGGUACAGAACUUAAACAUAAUUCUGGAAUGGGUGUCAGGAAAAUUGUUAUGGCCAAUAAAAUUAUUUGAACACAUCUGGUUUAGGAAAAGGUGAAUUAAGUUUUCUAUUACGAGAAGGAGUUCUUUUUUACAUUCCAUCAUUCGUAAUAACAGCUGUUAGUUUUACCCUUUAUUUACUAGACUGUAAUUGUGAACGAGGCCAUUACAGAAAUGGUUUUAAUAAGAUUGUCAGAUGAGAUUUUGAUCCUCUAUUCACCUUGUUUUGAAUCGCAAACGAACUGAUGGAAAAAUGACAAGAGAAGCAAAAGUGACAUUUACUUUUAGUUACAUUAACAUAUAAGACAUUAUCCAUCAAUGGAUGUUUUAUGUGCUUCCCGUUAUCCAUCAAUUGUUGUUUUAUGAGCUUCCCAUACAUUCUUUAUUGGAUCGUUGUGGAUUUGGUUGUUUCUGCAUGGGCUUUGUUUUUUAAGCGUAGAAAAUUAAAUGAACUUUGGUGCAGCUGCGGUAUUUGCGGGUAUGAAUUGAACUUGAGCUCCUCCAAUCGGAACACCUCAUCUAUUGGCUCUAAAUAUGGGAAAUCCAUAAAGAGAGGGAUCAUCUCAUUCUUCUUCAUCGAUGAGAGCAGAUUUACCCAGGUUGAUGAAUUCCAAUGCAUUCCCUUCUUUUCAAGAAACUCCUGGGGUUUGUUCCACCGGAGAACAGCACUUCUUUGCCGCAAGUGUGGUAAUAAUAUUGGAAUUGCUUAUGAUGAUAAAGCCUCAGCUUAUCCACUUGUAGCAGACGGAUCUGACUCUUCCUCAGUCAGUGAAGUUUCCAAACAUCGAAAAUAUGAUGUUAAAAUCCGUGCCUUGCAGCCUUCUUCUGUUGACCAGUUUAGCACUCCAAUUCACACCUGAUGUAUCCGGAGCAAGCCUCUUCAUAUCUAUGUAAUCAAAUGGUAUCGGUUACACAUCAAAAACUAAACCAGAAGUUUUCCUGAGAUACUUUCAUGUAUACGUGGUUGAUUCCUUUAAUUUUGUUCUGUGUAUGUGUGUUUACUGUCAUAUAUUAGAGUGUGACUUGUACAGAGCAGUGUUGAGAAGCAUUAAAAGAAAGCAGUGUGGAUGUUGAAGGGGCCAAAGUCCAUCAACUAUCCAGGUUUGACGAGAGAAUAGUAGUAUGAUAUAUCGAAUGGAUGGGUUUGAACUUUGAAGGGACAUUAACAUUAUGCUACAAUUUUAUAUAUUCUUCUCUGCGUGAGGCUUUCUCGUCUUUAAUAUUAUGUCAAUGUUGAGGCUUGUAAAUGCUGAAUAACAUGAGAAAGAGUUCUUGCACUUUAAUCUCCAUUGGGUUUCCGUGUAAUAUUGCUAUUAGAGUAAGAUCUUUUCAAUUUAUGCCACAGUGUAGUUUUUUCUUUAGGAGCUGAAGACGUCUUUGAUAUGGCAAUGCAGCAAUCAUGGGGAGAGAGAGCUUUGCAUGCAGCAGCUAGACUUUUGCAGCAAUGAUGUCUAUUCUAAAAGGAGAUGCCGAAUUCACGGCCGUAUUGGUCGGGUCUCCUGGAGCCAUACAGUAGAGUACCCAUCGAUCUCAAUUUUUUCUGUGCCUUGACCAUAUAUAACUGUAAAUCAUAGCCAUUUUCAUGUUGAAAAAGGACUUUUCCAGGACAACUUUACGUACAGGGAGACCGAAAGGUGCCUUUGAAGAUGUUAUGAAAUGUAGAUAACGUAACGUUACUAGAAAUUGUGGAAAGAGAAAUAUAAUGUGGAGACACAAAUAAACUAUAAGGGUUCAGUGCUAGGAGAUAAACAACAGUCUCACUUGAUCAGAAAUUCCAAUUUCUAUUCCAUAUUCUGAUAAGCGAUCAACAAAUGGAUCUCUACGAAGGAGAAUUGACAAAAAAGGCCCUAUUUGCUUGAGUAGGAGAUGACGUAUGCCAUGAUUGCUUUAUUUCUUUUCGAGAUUUGUAUGGCUUUGGAGCUCCGCUAGACUAGUAUCCUGGAAGGCAAGAAUUUCAAUAUUAGUAUGAUCAUACGCAGGCUAGUGUGCGCCGAAGACAGAAUUUUGUUCACAACGGGCUUCUCUAUUGAGGUGCCUUUUAGGGGGUUUUCACUUUUCCAAAGGAAAAUCAAGAGCACCGAAGCUCACUUAAUUCGAGUAUUACCACUGUGUAACCAAAUUUAGCUAUAGUUUAAUUGGCUGUUGAUGGAAUCUCAUCAUGGUCUAGAAUCACUUAUGUUUGAUGUCCAACACUCCUGAUAAAAGCAGCAGAAAAUGCCCUCUACAUCGACCCAGUCUUAAGCUUGUUCGUGAACAACAAAAGAAAGUACUAGUACUCAAAAGCCAGUUUCACUGAUGUAUAAACCGCUUCCUGAUCAAUCAACAAAAUUGAUACGCCACCAAAGAUUUUGCUUCCUUUUAUUCCCCUUGCAAGAUAGAAACUCGAAUUUUCAUUUUCUGUAUUUAGAGUCGAUUUGCAGCCAAAAGAACCCAACAAGGUUAUUGUUAUUGGCUGUAACUCAAAUCCCAACCAUAGAAUCGAAACUUAGCGAGCUUCAAUUUUUUUGUCCAGGAGGCGCUGAACAAUAAAAUUAAGAGGAUUUAUAAUGGAUGUUUUCUCUGUUCAGACUUCAGAGGCUCGGCUGCCACGGGACAACAAAAUUGACUUUGCUCCCGUCUUUUCUCCCCUCAACCUCCUGUCCAAACAGAGAAAUUAAUGGUUUUUCUUGUUGUUCUUAGCAUUACGGUCAAUUUUAGAUGUCAUGUAUGUAGUCUUUAUUUAGUGAAAUACAAUUCCCUUGAGCUGGCAUCUAUGCAUCGGAUUAACGUAUUUUGACUUUUUGAGACCAAUUCACCAAUGUAUAUGCGCUUAGACACAGAAAAUUUUCCGCACUUGUAUUCCUUUCUUCAUACCCAGCCAGCCACAUUUGAGCACCAGUAUCUGGACGUGGAUAAACAAUUACAGUAAGCAGCAUAUAUAUAUUGGUUGAUUUGGGCAGAGACUCCUCAUUGCAAGUGAAUCGAAAUGGGGUUAAGCUCAACAAACAAGGUUUGCUCAGCGAGUGUACACUCAGGGAAACGGCAAUAUAUAUGUCUCUUCAUUUAUGCUUGGAAUUUCCAUAGCUCCUUUACUUUCAAAAUUUUUCAUUUUAUCAAAUUUUUGGUAACAUCUCCGCUCCCCUAAAAUUUAGUGUCGCUUAGAUAUGCUAUAGUAAAAAAUAAAUAAAAAUAAAUUAGCAUUUCUAUACCAUUUAUCGAACCAGCUAUCAUCAUGAGAAAAAUGUUUGCUCUCAAAACUCGAACCUGCACCAUAAUUGUGAUUGUAAGUUCAAUAAUUUUACUAUUUCACAAAGCAAAACUACCAUCUAUUAAAAAUUAGAGUUAAUUAUAAAAACAUCCUUGACAUAUAUGUGUUCAUAAACAUAUUAUAAACCUUUAUCAAAAGAAAAUAAUUAGUAAAAUCAUUUAUGUAACGUUUGGUUAGUAUCUCGGGGAAAGAAUUUACUUUUUUGUACUUCAUGUUUUAAGGUAUAAAAAUUCAUUUAAAAUUUGUUUCAGAAACAAAUUUAUUAAUUUUAUUUUAUUUUUUUCUCAAACUAAAUAUUUUUCUAUCUCUUCUAUAUUUAUUUCUUCUAUCAUGAAAUAUUAACUAAACACAACAUUAAAAAAAACAAAAAUUACAAAAAUAAGAACCAACAUGGGUAAUUUUUUCAAAAAUCUUAGUCGAGUUAAUAUGGAGUUGACUAAGUUUUUUAUUUUUCCAGUUUUUUUUAAAUUGAUUUUUUAUCAUGUUUACCUUUCAUUAUUUAAUUUGUUUGAGAGUUGGCUUUUAUUAUUUAAUUUAAUUUUUUAUGUGAGGGGUUAUUUUGAUCUCAUAAUCGAGCUAUGAAUUUAGCAUGUUAAUUCGAGUUAUGUUAUUUUAUCAUUUUUAAAUUAUUUUCUUCACUUCGGUUUUCAAUGUUUUCUUUACUAGUAAUUGAGCUUCAAACUUCUUUUAUUUUUUUAUGAUGUUAUUAUGUUCUCAUUCAAUUUUUUUUAUACUUUGUUAUCAAAUAAAAAUUGUUAAGAUAUUUUAAAAAUAUUUAAAAGAUAUAUUUUUAUAAUAUUGAUAAAUAUUAAUUCAAAUCAAUAACUCCCAAAUUUCUUACUCCUUUAAAAACAUUAUCCAUCACCUAGGUAUCGUUUUAUUACGAUAAGAAAAAUCUGAUCCUGUCCACGAAGAAGCCCGGACCCUAUCCAGUUGCUACUAUGCUGUGUGCUUUAAAAAUUCUUCCUUGUUCAGAGUAUCGUGACACCCGAAAGCAAAACGGUACUCUCAAAAUAAAUUUACUUGAUCGUUCCAUUUUCAAACACACAGAAACUCAAUUGAAAAAAAAAAAUUAAUAAAGGAACCAAAAUACAAAUCUUCCUAUAAAUUACGUAACGAGAGAUAAAAAAGAUCGUGAUCAGGUGGCUGAGUUUUCCCUACAAUGUAAAAAAGCAAGUUAGCCACCGGUUAAUCUGUAAUAAUGGAUUUCAAAUCAACAGGGAAUUGAUGAAUUUAGUAUGUAUUCAAGACACAAGAGGUGCUGAAUCCAUUAACAUGUCAUAUAUACGUUCGCUAUAAGUUAGUGUUUACCAUUUGUUCCACAGUGGAUAAGGACCGCUCGGAGGUGGUUUCAACCAUGAUGACGAACCCAUUUGACCACCACUUUGGAUGGCCAGGCCUUGAUUUUGGCUGUUUUAUUUGAAGCCAUAAACUAUUAGUUGAUUGAUUUGUUUUCUGAGAGUGUUAUUGCACGGGUGAUUCAAGCUCUUUCAAACAAAAUCUAAUUGUUCGGAUUAUAAUACGGCAGUAGAGCAAUAUCUGUAAGGAGCAUGUAUUACAAAAUCUAGUUGGAGUUUUUCUUUGAAAUAUGUUGUAUCAGAUAACAGUUUAUGUUGAAACUUGCCCAGUCUAGUAUACUAAAUCUGAUAGCACAAAUCAAACUGUAUUAGGGCGGCUUAAAUAAUUUCCAAGCACAGAAAUUAAGUGGGGCAAGACAUCAAAAUGGAUUAAAUCAACCUCAAUCAUCACGAGAGAAGCAAAAUUGGAAGGGUUUCCUUGUUGCCAAUUGUUGUUUCAUCUCAUCGUUCAGAUGUAUGGUCCAAACUCAAAGUAGAAAAAGGAGACACAACCGUUUAAUAAUUCUCGUUUCAAACUCAAAUUGUAUAUAUAAUCUUGACAAGAGAACAAAACCAGGUUAAAGGUUUCUAUAAUACAAGGGGGGGAAAAAAACCCGACACGACGCUUUUUACGUGUACGUAACAUAAUUACCAGCACGAUAACCUUAUCUUCUUUUUGUUCUUUCAGAUGCAUGAUAUGAUAAAUUAACCUUUGAAUAUGGGACUAGCUAAAAAAGAAAAGAAAUGAAAGUCUACCUUUUUUUUUUUUUUAUUAUUAUUAUUAUUAUAAUAAUUUACUACGGUGGCCUGUUCAAGCCAUUGGCGCCAUCCUGUUAAUCCCAGGGCAAAAUACUAAUUUUUUAAAUAAUUGUUUUUUUAAUUUUAUUUUUAAUAUCAAAAAAUUAAAUUUAUAAAAAAAUAUUAAAAAAAUCCAAUACAAGUAGGUAUUGAAAGAAAUAAUUGUUAUAUAUAUAUAUGUCUCCAACUUUUCAAUUAGGUAUUUAAUAUAUUAAUGAAUUUUCAAUUGAAUCUUUUUAUUUAUUGAAAUCAAUAAAAUGGUUAAAAAUUAUAUGAAAAUUUUGUUUUUCUAUUUAUUUUGUGAAAAAAUCAUGAAUUUAAUAAAAAUUCUCGUAUCAUGACAUAUAGACUAUACAAAGAAAUGUAAGGGUUUUGUAAUAUGUUCACAUGAUUCAAAAUGAAGAUCUCAUUGAUUUUGUUUUGAAAAAAGAAAAAAUGAUGUAAACUUCAUAAUUUUAUUGGAAAAGUAUCCAACUGAAAAUCUAUUAUUACAUUGAGAAUCUAAUAGAAACUGUCCUCAAAGGUUGAGUACUUCAGUCAGGUUCGACCUUUAUUAUUCAUGCCUCUGAUCCCGUAAACUAAGCCGCCCACGUUUUGGAGAGGCCCGCUCCAUUUUACGCUAUAUAAUCCCAAACUUUCCUCUAUAGUUUCUCGUCGCAAAAACUAGAUUCCUACAGUAUAUUUGCUCACAAACUCUAAACUAUGGGGUUUGCUAGUAUUAACGUGUCUGUCAUCACUUUGGGUUAUUUUCUUAUGUUGUUUGUAACUCUCACCAGCAUCUUGAAUCCCAUCUUUGCUUCGAGAAUCUGCGAGUUUCCAGCAAUAUUUAACUUGGGCGAUUCAAACUCUGAUACUGGUACACACUCAGCUGCCUUCACUGCCCUUAACUCUCCCAAUGGAGACACUUACUUUCACAUGCCCGCGGGAAGGUUCUCAGAUGGAAGGCUGAUCAUAGAUUUCAUUGGUAAGUUAUAAUGCUUGUACUUCGAAUAGCAUAUGCAUAUGUUAACUCCUCGAAGUUGCAUGAACUGGUCCUUUCAAAAGUAAAAGCGUACAUUUUGCCUCCAUCGUCAUAAGAGUCUGGAUCUCUUACUGCAUUUCGUUGUCAGCAUGUGUGGAUAUGGUUUUAAGUUUGAGCCUCCCUUUUAAAAAAAUUUAAAAAAAUGUGUGGAUCUCUUAUUACUCUUUAAUGAUCUCUUGUAAUCAGCGAAGAGUUUCAAUCUACCAUAUCUCAGUGCUUAUCUUAAUUCUCUGGGCGCCAGCUACACAAAUGGGGCGAAUUUUGCCUCAGCAGGAGCCACCAUCAGAUUACCGUCUCCAAUUAUACCUGCUAGUGGUGGAUAUAGUCCAUUCUACCUUGAUGUGCAAUAUCAGCAAUUUAUGCAAUUUAAAGACAGAUCACAGAUCAUUAGGAAACAAGGUGCGUAAUCAAAAUCUAUUUUUUGGGCUCUAUUCCAGAGAUGUCAGUCAACUGUACGUAGAAGACGCAAUUUGAAACGAUUUUCUCAUCGAUGUUCAAUCUGUAUGCAGGAGGAAAGUUUGCCAAGUUGAUGCCUAAGGAGGACUAUUUCCGAAAAGCACUAUACACAUUUGACAUUGGUCAUAAUGAUCUUGGAGCUGGAUUUUUCAGCAACAUGUCCAUUGAGGAAGUGAAAGCAACUGUCCCUGAUAUUGUCAACAGGUUUUCGAUAUAUGUUAAGGUAAUCCUUAAUAAUGAACCAUUAGAGAAGGCUGUUUAGAUUUAUUACUCAUAUAUUAAUUUUAUGUUACAAUAAUAUAUUUAAACUACUGGAGUGGUUUUGAUCGGUGCAGAAUAUAUACGAAGUGGGAGGCAGAUCAUUUUGGAUUCAUAGCACAGGGCCAAUUGGUUGUCUUGCUUACAUCUUGACCGGCUUCCCUUCAGCAGAGAAGGACAGUGCUGGCUGUUCAAAGCAGCACAAUGAAGUGGCUCGGUAUUUUAAUUACAAAUUGAAGGAGGCUGUUUUUAAAUUGAGGAAAGAUUUUCCUUCAGCUGCAUUCACAUACGUGGACGUGUAUUCUGUGNNNNNNNNNNNNNNNNNNNNNNNNNNNNNNNNNNNNNNNNNNNNNNNNNNNNNNNNNNNNNNNNNNNNNNNNNNNNNNNNNNNNNNNNNNNNNNNNNNNNNNNNNNNNNNNNNNNNNNNNNNNNNNNNNNNNNNNNNNNNNNNNNNNNNNNNNNNNNNNNNNNNNNNNNNNNNNNNNNNNNNNNNNNNNNNNNNNNNNNNNNNNNNNNNNNNNNNNNNNNNNNNNNNNNNNNNNNNNNNNNNNNNNNNNNNNNNNNNNNNNNNNNNNNNNNNNNNNNNNNNNNNNNNNNNNNNNNNNNNNNNNNNNNNNNNNNNNNNNNNNNNNNNNNNNNNNNNNNNNNNNNNNNNNNNNNNNNNNNNNNNNNNNNNNNNNNNNNNNNNNNNNNNNNNNNNNNNNNNNNNNNNNNNNNNNNNNNNNNNNNNNNNNNNNNNNNNNNNNGGAUUGUAAAAUUAAAUUUAUUUAUAUUAGAUAAUAAAGGAUAUUUUCAAAAACCCACUCCAAGUUUAAGAAAAUAUUGUAGAAAAUUGUGUUGGUACCUUAAAUGCUUUAAUAUCUUAAAUAUAAGAAAGAGUUUAAAAUAUUAAUGACAUUUUAAGUUGAGAAAGUAAUUUUUAUAUAAACUUCUAGACAGUUUCCAUGAUUUCACAACACCUCGCAGUUUGUUGUGUAAUAAUUUACCCACAGCUCCAAAGCAAUUGGUUUUUAACUUGAAAAGGACACGAAAGUAACAAAACCAAUAGAUAAAUCAGAAAACAUGGCAAGAUUUAGUUUUUGUGGUUUAUUUUAUUACAAAUUGAUCUUGUUUUCCGUUACAAAUGGUGUAUAGGAUUUGAGCUUCCACUUAUAGCCUGCUGUGGCUAUGGAGGCAAGUACAACUACAGUGAUGCUCCAAGAUGUGGAGAAACAAUUACAGUAAAUAAUACCAAAAUGGUUGUCGGUUCAUGUGACAACCCCUCUGUUCGAGUAGAUUGGGACGGAGUCCACUAUACCGAGGCUGCUAACAAGUUUGUUUUCGAUCGAAUUUCGACAGGAGCCUUUUCUGAUCCGCCAAUCCCCUUAAACAUGGCAUGCCACAGGAAUGUAUAAUUUCUGUGCUUUCAAUAUCAUUCUAAAAUGUAUAAAUCGCGAUAAAAUGCCUCCCUCUCGAUCCAUUCCUUGGAUCUGAAGGGUGAAAUAAGAAACUGUUGAUCUCAUAUAUCAUCUCUCCUCGGGAGAGAAAAACAUGAGAUGUGCCAAACUAGCUCCAAUAAUAACUCCUCCCCUACUUUUCAAUAUAUAUGGAAUCUAUGUAACGUAUAUAUUCUGUAUUUUUAAUAAAGCUCGACAGAAAAAUAUUUCAGCCUAUAAUUCCCUAGCCAAUUAGUUUGGUGAUCGAAAGCCAAAUAAAAAAUAAUUAACUUGGAACAAGAAAUGCACUCUGUUAUUUCCUGUCAACUACGAGGACGCAUUGAAAGGAGAAAAAAAAGGGGGGUCUAACUUAAUAAUGAAACAUUUCGGCAGGAUCUUCUCUAAUGGGAUCAGGUCGUGAAUAAUGAAUAUAAUCCUCUUGAAAUAUAUACACACCAUUAAUGUGGAUGUCGACAUAAUAUUUGGAAAUUAACCUUGGCUUCACUCAUUAUUUAUACCUAGAAAGUCUAGAAAUAAUGGAAAGGUCUGCAUCACUGUCAAGUGAUGAGUACAAUACAAGUCUUAAAGAUUAUCUCCCUUCUAGUCCUCGAAAGCUAUUUUCGCUUUCAACAUGGUGUUUCCGAGCACCAACAUAUCUGUAAUCAGUUUCUCUUCUUUUUGUAUGGUUUUCGUGACUUGAGUUGCCAUUGUGAACCCCAUAUUUGCUUUGGAAAAUUGUGAUUGAUUUCCCAGCAAUCUUUAACUUCGGUGACUCAAAUUCGGAUACUGGUGGAUUGGCUGCUUCCUUCAUUCAACCAAACUUCCUUGUGGAGAGACUUACAUUCACAUGCCCGAAGGGAGAUACUCUGAUGAAGGCUGAUUAUAGAUAGAUUUCAUUGGUGAGAAUGUUAGAAAAUAUUUUUAUACGGAAAAAGAAAAGAAAAGACAGUUUGAACUGAGUACCAAACUGUUCCUUCAUAUAAUUAUAAUUGAGACGAGCGUGAACGAUCAAGUGUACUAUUUCACAAGUGGGGGCAUAAUCAUUUUAUUGUAAUCUUAAAAAAAAACAUUUUCUUUUUUGAAAUAUACUUAAAUGUUAAAUGUUUGCGAUCUUUAACUAUUAAUUAACACAUUAAAAGAAACUAAAAGGGCUCCAACUUAUACUGUAGCCUUGUUCAUUAUAGCCACAAAGUCAUUGACAUUAUGUAUUUGAAUGGUAAAAUGAUGAUUUUACAUUUAUAAACAUAACAUAAUUGGCCUUGUUGAGCCCAUAAUGUGUUGUAUCAGCAAAGAAUUUUAAUCUCCCGUAUAAUCUAAGUGCUUAUCUUAACUCUCACGGGGGCAACUCCACGCAUGGAGAAAAUUUUGCAAUAGCAGGGUCCACCUUUACAUUAACAAAAACCUAAAACUAGAAGGGAAAUUACUUUAGCUCUAGGAACACAUCACUAUUUAUUGAAAUUAAUAGCGAUGAAUCAAUUUUUUAUUAAGAUUUUUAUUUUUAAAUAUUUUCUUAAAUCAAAUGAAUUUAGUAAAUAUGUUAAACGCAAGAUACUUAAACUUAACAGUCAGCCAAGUACGAUAUAUAUGGACUUGACGGUAAACCAAAUUUAAAAUUAUAUAGGUAUAGCAAACUUGUCAGACUAAAGGUGUUAAAUUUGGUGGACAGUCAAGUCCAAGGUGCGACAUUACUAAUUCUAAGACUUUAUGUCUAAUCCUAAACCUUUACGAUAUAAAUAUUAAAGACAUGAUAAAUUAUUAUAUCUUUCAAUAUAGAAUAACUAUACACAUUAAGAUAAUGAUUUUCCUAUACUUAUAGGUAUGUAUAAGGUCUCUUAAGAGACCACUCAUACUUAUUGUCUUAUUAAUGAUAUGUAAGAGGUUUUUGCCUCCCAUUAAUGUCGCUGAAAGCAGAGGACUUUCUGGCUUCUCCUUUUUCAUGGAAACGACAAAGUUUAUAGAGUAUAAAUACAUUUUUAACAAUUCAGGUAAAACGUACACAAACUCUCUUCUUUCUAAAACAAAUAUACAAAGACUUCAUAGCAUUAACAAACUUAAAACUCAAGAACAAAUAUCUCUGUCCUUAAAAUUUAAGGCUCUUCGAAGUUAUUUAUUACUUUAAGUCAUUUAAUAUCUUUCUCAUAAAGAUAUUGACUUUAUCAUUAUCUUUAAGUCCUCCAGAUUGUAACUGUUUUUUUGAAAGUAUUUAAGACCUUCAUAGUUAACAUCGAGUUCUUUAGAUUAAGGAGAAAUUUAUUUUACCAGGUCACAAUCAACCCGUGUUUUUUAUUGUCUCACACAGGGUCAAUCAUCUACUCAAUUUCACCGGUUGUUGAGCAAGCUUGGAUCUACCAAUCCGCUCGAUCCAGCUUUAGGGGGAGUAUUGAAGAUACUGCAGAAGAUACAACAGCCAUUAAUGAAUACGAUUAUGCUGCAACUAUUGAUACAGAGAUCCUGCAGAUAUUCUAGCUGCAACUAUUGAAACAGAGAUCCUGUAGAUAUUCCAGCAUUAUACUAUUCCCUAAUGUAAUUUAUUUGUUACCUGGAUUAGACAUGAUUUUAUGCUCUGUUAUUAUUAGGAUGAAAUCCUAGCGAGAUUCUUGGAGAAAUUAUGUGCAAGAUUGUCUUUCCUUGCACAUAAUUUCCUGCUAUAUAUACAUGUAUACAACAACAGAACUGACAUGAUUGAAGUUUUCUUUCUUAAAUCACUGUCUUAAAUAUCAUCAGUAUUCAAGACACCAGAGGUGCUGAAUCCAUUAACAUGUAAUAUAUACGUUCGCUAUAAGUGAGUGUUUACCAUUUGUUCCACAGUGGAGAAGGACCGCUCGGAGGUGGUUUCAAACCAUGAUGACGAACCCAUUUGACCACCACUUUGGACGACCAGGCCUAGAUUUUGGCUGUUUUACUUCAAGCCAUAAACUAUUAGUUGAUUGCUUUGUUUUCUGAGAGUGUUUUUUUUUUUUUUUUGAUAAUCGUCGAGAGUAUAUUGAGAAGGCCAUAAAGCGAAUAGCCAAAGAGAAAUACAAGGGAUAUAAAAAAGAAAAAAGAAAAAAGAAAAAAACUGAUCUACUACAGCAAACAACAAGAAGACUACCUAAGAUUUCUUAUUACACCACAAUUUGAUGCCAUCAAAAGAUCUUAAGAGGUCAUUUUAUGAGAGUGUUAUUGCACGGGUGAUUCAAGCACUUUCAAACAAAAUCUAAUUGUUCGGAUUAUAAUACAGCUGCAGAGCAAUACCUGUAAGGAGUAUGUAUUACAAAAUCUAGUUGGAGUUUUUCUUUGAAAUAUGUUGUCUCAGAUAACAGUUCAUGUUGAAACUUGCCCAGUCUGUAUAAUAAUUCUGAUAGCACAAAUCAAACUGUAUUAGGGCGGCUUAAAUAAUUUCCAAGCACAGAAAUUAAGUGGGGCAAGACAUCAAAAUGGAUUAAAUCAACCUCAAUCAUCACGAGAGAAGCAAAAUUGGAAGGGUUUCCUUGUUGCCAAUUGUUGUUUCAUCUCAUCGUUCAGAUGUAUGGUCCAAACUCAAAGUAGAAAAAGGAGACACAACCGUUUAAUAAUUCUCGUUUCAAACUCAAAUUGUAUAUAUAAUCUUGACAAGAGAACAAAACCAGGUUAAAGGUUUCUAUAAUACAAGGGGGGGAAAAAAACCCGACACGACGCUUUUUACGUGUACGUAACAUAAUUACCAGCACGAUAACCUUAUCUUCUUUUUGUUCUUUCAGAUGCAUGAUAUGAUAAACCUUGAAUAUAUGAUAAACCUUGAAUAUGGGACUAGCAAAAAAAGAAAAGAAAUGAAAGUCUACCUUUUAUUAUUAUUAUUUAGUAUUAUAAUUUUCUACGGUGGCCUGUUCAAGCCAUUGGCCUCCUGUUAAUCCCAGGGCAAAAUACUAAUUUUUUAAAUAAUUGUUUUUUUAUAUUUUCAAUAUAUAUCAAUUAAUUAAAUUUAUCAAAAAAUACUAAAAAAAUUUAAUUUAAUAUAUUUUUAAAACGCACAGUUGAAAAUCCAAUACAAGUAGGUAUUGAAAGAAAUAUAUAUAUAUAAAUAUAUAUAUAUAUAUAUAUAUAUAUAUAUAUAUGUCUCCAACUUUUCAAUUAGGUAUUUAAUAUAUUAAUCUUUUUAUUUAUUCAAAUCAAUAAAAUGGUUAAAAAUUAUAUGAAAAUCUUGUUUUUCUAUUUAUUUUGUGAAAAAAAUCAUGAAUUUAAUAAAAAUUCUCGUAUGAUGACAUGAAAUAGACUAUACAAAGAAAUGUAAGAGUUUUGGAAUAUGUUCACAUGAUUCAAAAUGAAGAUCAAGGAUUCAUUGAUUUUGUUAUGAAAAAAACAAAAAAUGAUGUAAACUGCAUAUGACUAUUUCAUAAUUUUAUUGGAAGAGUAUCUAACUGAAAAUCUAUUAUUACAUUGAGAAUCUAAUAGAAACUGUCCUUAGAGGUUGAGUACUUCAGUCAGGUUUGACCUUUAUUAUUCAUGCCUCUGAUCCCGUAAACUAAGCCGCCCACGUUUUGGAGGGGCCCGCUCCAAUUUACGCUAUAUAAACCCAAACUUUCCUCUAUAGUUUCUCGUCGCAAAAACUAGAUUCCUACAGUAUAUUUGCACACAAACUCUAAACUAUGGGGUUUACUAGUAUUAAAGUGUCUUUUAUCACUUUGGGUUAUUUUCUUAUGUUGUUUGUAACUCUCGCCAGCAUCUUGAAUCCCAUCUUUGCUUCGAGAAUCUGCGAGUUUCCAGCAAUAUUUAACUUGGGAGAUUCAAACUCUGAUACUGGUACACUGUCAGCUGCCUUCACUGCCCUUAACUCUCCCUAUGGAGACACUUACUUUCACAUGCCCGCGGGAAGGUUCUCAGAUGGAAGGCUGAUCAUAGAUUUCAUUGGUAAGCUAUUAUGCUUGUAAUUCGAAUAGCAUAUGCAUAUGUUAACUCCUCAAAGUUGCAUGAACUGGUCCUCUCAAAAGUAAAAGCGUACAUUUUGCCUCCAUCGUCAUAAGAGUCUGGAUCUCUUACUGCAUCUCGUUGUCAGCAUGUGUGGAUAUGGUUUUAAGUUUGAGCCUCCCAUUUAAAAUUUUUUAAAAAAAUGUGUGGAUCUCUUAUUACUCUUUAAUGAUCUCUUGUUUGAUCAGCAAAGAGUUUCAAUCUACCAUAUCUCAGUGCUUAUCUUAAUUCUCUGGGCGCCAGCUACACAAAUGGGGCGAAUUUUGCCUCAGCAAGAGCCACCAUCAGAUUUCCGUCUCCAAUUAUACCUGCUAGUGGUGGAUAUAGUCCAUUCUACCUUGAUGUGCAAUAUCAGCAAUUUAUGCAAUUUAAAGACAGAUCACAGAUCAUUAGGAAACAAGGUGCGUAAUCAAAAUCUAUUUUUUGGGGUCUACUCCAGAGAUGACAGUCAACUGUACGUAGAAGACGCAAUUUGAAACGAUUUUCUCAUCGAUGUUCAAUCUGUAUGCAGGAGGAAAGUUUGCCAAGUUGAUGCCUAAGGAGGACUAUUUCCGAAAAGCACUAUACACAUUUGACAUUGGUCAUAAUGAUCUUGGAGCUGGAAUUUUCAGCAACAUGUCCAUUGAGGAAGUGAAAGCAACUGUCCCUGAUAUUGUCAACAGGUUUUCGAUAUAUGUUAAGGUAAUCCUUAAUAAUGAACCAUUAGAGAAGGCUGUUUAGAUUUAUUACUCAUAUAUUAAUUUUAUGUUACAAUAAUAUAUUUAAACUACUGGAGUGGUUUUGAUCGGUGCAGAAUAUAUACGAAGUGGGAGGCAGAUCGUUUUGGAUUCAUAGCACAGGGCCAAUUGGUUGUCUUGCUUACAUCUUGACCGGCUUCCCUUCAGCAGAGAAGGACAGUGCUGGCUGUUCAAAGCAGCACAAUGAAGUGGCUCGGUAUUUUAAUUACAAAUUGAAGGAGGCUGUUUUUAAAUUGAGGAAAGAUUUUCCUUCAGCUGCAUUCACAUACGUGGACGUGUAUUCUGUGAAAUAUUCUUUAUUCAGUGAUCCCAAGAAAUAUGGUGAGUUACACUUUCUAGGUUCUUACGUAAUAAUAUAAAUUAUAUUUUAAAAUUUUAUAUAAUAAUUUAAGUUAUUGGGUUAAAAUAGUUUUUUAACAUAAUAUUAGAGCCUUGAUAACCAAGUAGUCACGAGUUUGAAUUUUAAUAUUCUCAUUUAUUUUAUUAAAAUUAAGCAUAAUGUAAUAUGAGUUUGUAAAAGUUUCAAGUUCAAAGGGUUUUCAUUUGAAGGGGGCGUGUUAGAGAAUAAUAUAAAUUAUAUAUUGGGACCUCACCUAAAGCUUAAGCAAUUGAGUUGAGAUCCCAAUAUAUGAUUUACCUAACCGUUUAAGUUAUUGAAUUAAGAUUGUUUUUUACAUAGAUAAUUAAUAAUUAAUAGCACGUUAAAUGCAAAAAAAUCUUUUCAAGUAUUGUAAAAUUAAAUUUAUUUAUAUCAGAUAAUAAAGGAUAUUUUCAAAAACCCACUCCAAGUUUAAGAAAAUAUUGUAGAAAAUUGUGUUGGUAACUUAAAUGCUUUAAUAUUUUAAAUAUAAGAAAGAUUUUAAAAUGUUAAUGACAUUUUAAGUUGAGAAAGGAAUUUUUAUAUAAACUUCUAGACAGUUUCCAUGAUUUCACAACACCUCACAGUUUGUUGUGUAAUAAUUUACCCACAGCACUAAAGCAAUUGGUUUUAAUUAACUUGAAAAGGACACGAAAGUAACAAAACCAAUAGAUAAAUCAGAAAACAUGGCAAAGAUUUAGUUUUUGUGGUUUAUUUUAUUACAAAUUGAUCUUGUUUUCCGUUACAAAUGGUGUAUAGGAUUUGAGCUUCCACUUAUAACCUGCUGUGGCUAUGGAGGCAAGUACAACUACAGUGAUGCUGCAGGAUGUGGAGAAACAAUUACAGUAAAUAAUACCAAAAUGGUUGUCGGUUCAUGUGACAACCCCUCUGUUCGAGUAAAUUGGGACGGAGCCCACUAUACCGAGGCUGCUAACAAGUUUGUUUUCGAUCGAAUUUCGACAGGAGCCUUUUCUGAUCCGCCAAUCCCCUUAAACAUGGCAUGCCACAGGAAUGUAUAAUUUCUGUGCUUUCAAUAUCAUUCUAAAAUGUAUAAAUCGCAAUAAAAUGCCUCCCUCUCGAUCCAUUCCUUGGAUCUGAAGGGUGAAAUAAGAAACUGUUGAUCUCAUAUAUCAUCUCUCCUCGGGAGAGAAAAACAUGAGAUGUGCCAAACUAGCUCCAAUAAUAACUCCUCCCCUACUUUUCAAUAUAUAUGGAAUCUAUGUAACGUAUAUAUUCUGUAUUUUUAAUAAAGCUCGACAGAAAAAUAUUUCAGCCUAUAAUUCCCUAGCCAAUUAGUUUGGUGAUCGAAAGCCAAAUAAAAAAUAAUUAACUUGGAACAAGAAAUGCACUCUGUUAUUUCCUGUCAACUACGAGGACGCAUUGAACGGAAAAAAGAAGAAGAAAAGACAGUUUGAACUGAGUACCAAACUGUUCCUUCAUAUAAUUAUAAUUGAGACGAGCGUGAACGAUCAAAGUUUUAACAGUAUUUCACAAGUGGGGGCAUAAUCAUUUGUACGUAAUCUUUAAUAAAAAUCAUUUUCUUUUUGAAAUAUAGUUAAAUGUUUGUGAUCUUUGAUUAUUAACACAUUGAGCCCAUAUUGUGUUGUAUCAGCAAAGAAUUUUAAUCUCCCGUAUAAUCUAAGUGCUUAUCUUAACUCUCGCGGGGCAACUCCACGCAUGGAGCAAAUUUUGCACUAGAGGGUCCACCUUUACAUUAACAAAACCUAAAACUAGAAGGUAAAUUACUUUAGCUCUAGGAACACAUCAUUAUUGAAAUGAAUAGUGAUGAAUCAAUUUUUUAUUAAGAUUUUUAUUUAUAAAUAUCUUCUUAAAUCAAAUAAUUUUAAUAAAUAUAUCGAUUUAAGAUACUUGAACUUAACAGUCAGCGAUGUCCAAAAUAUGUGGACUCGAUAGCAAAUCAAGUCUAAAAUAAUGUAGGUCUAACAAACUUACCAGACUAAAGGUGUUGUACUUGGUGAAAAGUCAAGUCCAAGGUGUGACAUUACUAAUUCUAAGAUUUUAUACCUGAUCUUAAACAAUUCUUUAUGAUAUAAAUAUUAAAGACAUAAUAAAUCAUCGUAUAUCUUUAUCUAGAAUAAUUGGAUGCAUUAAGAUAAUGAUUUCUUUAUACUUAUAGGUGUGUAUAAGGUUUCUUAAGAGACCACUCAUACUUAUUGUCUCAUUAAUGAUAUGUAAGAGGUUUUUACCUCUCAUUAAUGUCGCUGAAAACAGAGGACUUUUUGGCUUCUCCUUUUUCAUGGAAACGACAAGGUUUAUAGUGUAUAAAUACCUUCUAAACAAUUCAGGUAAAACAUACACAACCUCUCUUCUUUCUAAAAUAAAUAUACAAAGACUUCAAAGCAUUAACAAACUUAAAGCUCAAGAAUAAACAUCUUUGUCCUUGGAAUUUAAGGCUCUUUGAAGUUAUUUAUUACUUUAAGUCAUUUAAUAUCUUUCUUAUAAAGAUAUUAACUUUAUUAUUAGAGAAUCUUUAAAUUCUUUAGAUUGGAACUGUUUUUUUUUUUUUUUGCAAGUAUUAAAGACCUUCAUAGUUAACAUGAAGUUCUUUAGAUUAAGAAAAAAUUUAUUUGACCAGGUCACGGUCAACCUGUGUUUUUUAUUAUUUCAUAUAAAGUCAAUUAUCCCCAAACUUCUUUUGAAACCCGACCCGCCCUAAGCUUUGGAUCACGAGUCAACCUGCCAUUUUGUUUUUAAUUUGGUUAUCUUAUUCGCAUGACCUCUCGCUCAUGAGUUUUGUUGACCUCACCUGAUUUUUUUUGCCAUUUUGCUUUUUUGGACUUCUUUUUGUUAAUUGAUUUUUUUUCUUAAAUUCGUCUUUAUAUGUUUGGAUUCUUGGGAAUUGGCAAUUGUAAUAUUUUUCAAUUUUAUUUUUAUAAUAUCGAGUUGUGGAAUUUUUUCUUUUUUAAAAUAUAUUAACAUUGUUUUUUUAUAUCACAGAAAAUUUAAUCUGGCCUGCAGCGAAAUAAUUAAGAAUUCAAUGGCAUGCUUAGCACAACAUCAUUCAAUGUUUUCGGAUUAACAUGUGAUACUUCCUAACAUCCAUUACUAUCAAGCCAGCUCAACGAGGCAUAAGGAAAAAUUCCCAGCACUCAUAAAGUUUGGUGUGGAGAAAAGGGGAAGUGAUGAUAAGAAAGAAAAAGAAGAAACAAAUGGGAAAGUUUUUUCUUUUCCAAAAAUAGAUCGUAAGGAAAAUGGGCUGAAUAGUCCAAAAAAUACUAGAGUUCAUCAUAUGCCAGCACAGCGGAUGGGUUGUGUUUCCAUUCAUUCGAAACAUAAUCAAGCAAGUUCUUAUCCGUGUUGCUGUUUGUCCAAGUCAUUGUCUCUUCUAUGGUGGCCACAUGGAAGUGCUUUCACUAUUUCAGUGCCUUUGAUUAUCUGUCUCUACUCUUUACUAAGAAAAUAAGGUGAAAUGUAUUCAUGUAGCAAUAGACCUGUAAAUAAUGCAUGAGGACUUUUCUCAUCACAUCAUGGACCGACCAUAAAUAAAGAUCUUUUCUUUUGCAAAACUUUUUCAAGAAUAUUUUAUCAACAAAGCAUAACCUUCUUGAUGAGAUGCAAGCAUAAUGUUGUUAAUUUAAUUAUAAGUGCCAAUUCGCUAGCUGGCUUAUUCCUAAUUUUAACUGCAAUUAAUAUCCAACUAACCGAUCGAGUGGAGAAAAUGACUUGAGAAUAUACAAGCCCAAGAGAUGACUACAGAACUCAAGGGAGAAGAAUAAUAUCAGAAUGUAUGGGAUUAAUCCCCUUGUGAAAUCUGAAAUGCCAUGAAGAGGAAACGGAGGAACCAAAGAGAAUCGGUAAAAAAGAAAGCAACAUAAUUUAAAAAUAUUUUGGAUAUAUAUGUCGAUAGAAAUUUCAGCUCCCUUUAGUCUUUAUGAGCUGUGACAAAACAAUGUGAAAGU